UGGGGAAUAUUGCACAAUGGAGGGAACUCUGAUGCAGCGACGCCGCGUGAACGAAGAAGGCUUGCGAGUCGUAAAGUUCUUUUAUAUGGGAAGAUAAUGACGGUACCAUAAGAAAAAGCCCCGGCUAACUACGUGCCAGCAGCCGCGGUAAUACGUAGGGGGCUAGCGUUGUCCGGAAUCACUGGGCGUAAAGGGUUCGCAGGCGGAAAUGCAAGUCAGGUGUAAAAGGCAGUAGCUUAACUACUGUAAGCAUUUGAAACUGCAUAUCUUGAGAAGAGUAGAGGUAAGUGGAAUUUUUAGUGUAGCGGUGAAAUGCGUAGAUAUUAAAAAGAAUACCGGUGGCGAAGGCGACUUACUGGGCUCAUUCUGACGCUGAGGAACGAAAGCGUGGGUAGCAAACAGG
rnacentral:rRNA from 1 species